GACGAACGCUGGCGGCGUGCUUAACACAUGCAAGUCGAACGGAAAGGCCUGCUUUCCCUUGUGGAUUGCGGGUACUCGAGUGGCGAACGGGUGAGUAACACGUGAGUGAUCUGCCCCCAACUUGGGUAUAAGCCUGGGAAACUGGGUCUAAUUCCCGAUAGGACUGCAGGGUGGUGCCUGUGGUGGAAAACGAUUUUCUAGUGGUCGGGGAUGAGCUCGCGGCCUAUCAGCUUGUUGGUGGGGUAAUGGCCUACCAAGGCGGCGACGGGUAGCCGGCCUGAGAGGGUGGACGGCCACAUUGGGACUGAGAUACGGCCCAGACUCCUACGGGAGGCAGCAGUGGGGAAUAUUGCACAAUGGGCGGAAGCCUGAUGCAGCGACGCCGCGUGGGGGAUGACGGCCUUCGGGUUGUAAACUCCUUUCGACCGCGAGGAAGCCACCUGGUUGGAAGGGUGGUGACGGUAGUGGUAGAAGAAGCACCGGCUAACUACGUG
rnacentral:rRNA from 1 species